UUGCGCGUAGAGGAUCUUUCCUGACUUUCUACUGUGCUGGCGUCUCUCACAUCUCUUCGGCUGGAAUCGGAGCUUUCUGUCCCUUUCUCCUGGCCUUUAGGGGAGUGUGACUUCAGCUACGAGACUUCCUUCGUCAGACUCAGUUACCGCGAGGGACGUGGGUGUGUAUGAGGAGAGACGGUCAGGCAAUUGUGGUGAUGCUUAAGGCCUUUGGGUCGUGACGCACCAAAUCUCAAAAGUGGCGAGAGUGGAAGGAGCCCGGAGAUAGCAAAAGCACCCUAAAUGGAGUAGAGGAAAUGCUUUCACUGGCAUUUUAAAAAUCAUCCUCACAGAACUCGGUGAGGUGGACCUUUGGGUCAUACUCAUGUUACAGACCGAGAGGGACAUCCUGAGAAGUUACUUGCCCAAGAUCACAGAACAGUUCGUAGCAUAGGCACAGCUCAAACCCGAGUCACUGGCUCCCUGUUCAGUUUUCUUUCAAACGAGCUUAGGGUUUAUCUCACUGUUCGGUGUAUCAACACUGUAUAGUGGUUACAUUUUAAAAGUUUUUUUGCAUUCAAGUGUGGACCCUAAGGGGUAGAUUGAGAACUUUUAAAUGGAGGGGGUGGUGCAUAGGACUUACGGCUGAAAAAAGUCUCUUUUGCCCCUGGUUUCAUACAUGCUGAUGGGUCCUAAGAAAAACCUCACUGAUGGAGAAAACCACUGCUGACUCAGAGAGCACGGAGGGCAGAGUCAAGAUGGUGGACCAGGAGGACGCGGAACUCACGUCUCCGUACGACUAGGGCACCUACCAGGCACCAGUGGGGGACCACGGACACCUAAGGGGACAGGAGGAACCCGCAACAACCAGGAGACUGGCCAAGCAAGCUCAGAGGCAAAAACUCAAACCACUCCAUGGAUGGAAGAGGAAAGUGAAGUUAAAAGAUGGAACACCUAAAGGUACCUCUCGGUCCAGCACCUUGUUCCUCCCGCAAACAGCUCAGGCUGGAGAGGUGCAAAGACUGCAUGGGGAGACAAGCUAGUCCCUUGGAACUGUGGAGAGGAAAAGAGUCAGCUUCUCAGAGACGUAUGCGGUGUACAGACUCAGCUCGCCUAUGGAGAUGACCAAAAUGGGCAUUCCUAGCCUACUUACACCCAAUCCAAGUAAGGCUGGAGCUGAUUUCCUUGUUUUGAUACUGGAAAUACUACAGUACAACCUGAUCCGCUGUUUGUUGAAUCCAAGGAUGCAGAACCGUGGCUGUGGAGGAAAUAACGGAUGUGGAGGUACCACUCCUGAGGAGAGUUGACAAUAUGUUAUACUCAAAUCUUCUACUGCGAGGAGGGUCAGCGACCCGAACCCCCUUAGUUAUUCAAGGUCAACUCUUCUCUCCUAUUGUUAUACACUUAGAUUAUUUCCAGUUUUUACCUAUUGUAAAUAUUGUUGUGACUAGCAUCCUUGAACUUAAAUCUUUGGGCAUAUCCUAAUUAUUUACUAUAGAUAAAUUCCUAAAAGUAAUAUUAUUGGGUCAAAAGACAAAUAUUUUUAAAUAGUCACAUGUGCUAUUACCACCCUAAGAUAACCACUGCCAACAAUUUGAUGCAUAUCUUUAGUCUUUUAAAAAAUGAAUAUGUAUGUGCAUGAAUAUACAUUUUUUUGGCGGGGGGAAGUUGUUACUGUGUUAUGUAUAGGAGGGGAUGUACUGAAGAAUUGUAAGCAGAGGAAUGAUAUGAUCUGUUUUUGUUUGUUUGUUUGUUUUGCCGCGCCACUCAGCUUGCAGGAUCUUAGUUUCCCAACCAUGGAUCGAACCUGGGUCCCGGCAGUGAAGGUGCCAAGUCCUAAUCACUGGACCACCAGGGAAUUCCUGAUUUUCAUUUUAGAAGGAUCACCCUGGCUGCCCCGUUAAAGAUAGACUGCAGUGAACAAGAGCAGAGGCAGAGCCCAGGGCGGAGUCGACAGGUCCGAGCGGCUUGCAGCAGAGGGCAGCAUGGAGGGAGUGAAUGGAGGUCAGAUUCUGGAUAUCUUUUUUGCAGGAAGUCAGACUGAAUGUGCAGUACGAGAGAAAAAAAGCAGUGCAGAUUAACUCCAAGUUCUGGAGGCCUGAGCAAUUGGAAGGAUGACACUGACGUCAAGUGACAGGGGAAAAAGGCUGUAGGUGGAGCAGGCUUGGCGAGAGGGAAGAACAGGAAUUUCAUUUGGAGAGAGUGUUUGAGGCGUCUAGUAGGUAUCCAAGUGGAGAGGUCCAGUGGGCUGCUGAAUACGACUUUCGAGUUCUGGGAUGGAAAGGGGAAACGAGUUAUGGUACGACAGAACCUAAAUUCAAGAAAGGCUGAAGAACCAGGAAAGCAUUGGUGUAAAUCCCAGUCCAAGUCUGAAGCCAGAGAACAAGUAGCACCAACGUCCAAGGGCAGAGGAAGAUGGAUGUCCCGGAUUAAGAAGAGACAGAGGGAACUUAUCCUUCCUCUGCCUUUUCUAUUCAGGCCCUCAGUGGAUAGGCUGAUGCCCACCUGCAUUGGUGAGGGUGAUCUUUUUCACUCAGUCUACUGAUUCAAAUGCUAAUCUCCUCUGGAAACAUCCUCCUAGACACACCCAGAAAUAAUGUUUACCAUCUCUCUGGGCACCCCUUAGCCCAAUCAAAUUGACACACAAGAGUAACCAUCACACAGAGAUUCUGGCUUGACCCUCAGUAGAGCUUAUGCAAUGUGGUGCUCUCAGAAUAGAAUUUCUCAAAUUGCAUUACCCAGAUUACUAGUUCAUGAACUCUUAAUAGGGUUCUGUGAAGGAAAAAAUUUCUUUUAAAAAUAUAGAUGUAAUGAAAAUGUCAAACACGCUUGGACAGCUAUUUAUUCUGUGAUAAUUUAUCUUUAAGAAAACAUACACUCCAAACUGCUACCAUUGGGUAUGUAUGGGGAGGAGGUUUUUCCGCUCUCCCCUCUUUAUACGUUUCUGUUAUAAUGUAUCUAAACCUAAUUCUAACUGACUCACAGCCUGAAACAGAUCCAAAGAUAAUGUUCAGUGGAAUCCAUAUUUGACUUUACAGGUAGCAACUUUGUGACUCAUCAGGGAAAGACAAUAUUGUAUGUAGUGGAACCUACAUAAAGGGAAGGUUUCAUCUGAGUUAACAUCUAGACUGGAACCUGACCAACUUUUUUUUUUUUUUUUUUAUGCGGUACACAGGCCUCUCACUGUUGUGGCCUCUCCCAUUGUGGAGCACAGGCUCCGGACGCGCAGGCUCAGCGGCCACGGCUCACGGGCCCAGCCGCUCUGCGGGACAUGGGAUCUUCCCGGACCAGGGCACGAACUCGCGUCCCCUGCAUCGGCAGGCGGACCCUCAACCACUGCGCCACCAGGGAAGCCCUGACCAACUUUUAUUGAUUCAAAUCCUUAACUCAUCCAGGCACUGAUGAGUGCCCACCUGACAAACUGACAUGCAUACUUGAAUAUCUCCCAGGCAUCUUAAGCCUAAUGAGUCUGAAACUGAAACUGAUAUUGCCCAUCCCAGUCACCACCACCACAUGGACUCCUUAUGCCCUGUUUUCUUUGCAGUCAGUGUUCAGUAGAGUUCAUAGCUGUCUACCUAACUUAUCAUGCCAGGAGCCUGGGGCCAUCUUUGACACCUCCUUCCUCAUUUCUAUAUCCAGGUCUUUGUCAAGUCCCAGAAUCUCCCUCUAAAAUACAUUUGGAUCUAUUACUCUCUGUCUCCACUGUCACUUGGAGGGUGAAGCUGUACCAUUUUUUGCCCAGACAACUCCAAAAGCCUUCCCUCUGGAUUCCCAUUCCCUAUGCAGCACCUGGAGAGAAAACACAAACCAGAUCACGAUACCACCAUACUGAAACCUCUUCAAAGGCUCCCGAUAGCAUUAGGAUACAAUCCCAAACCCUACUGUUGACAAAAACAAUCAAUAAACAAUCUACAGUAGGAAUAGAAAAGAGUUUCAUUUGAGCCAAACUGAGGACUAUAGCCCAGAAGACAGUCUCUCAGAUAACUCUGAGGAACUGCUCCAGAGAAGCAUGGUUUUCAGUGCAGUUUUAUGUCUUGUCA